CUUUACUGUAGCCUGGAAUUGGGUCCGGGCUUCGCUUGCGCAGGAUAGGUGGGAGGCACUGAAACACUCCUUGUGGGGAGUGUGGAGCCAACGGUGAGAUACCACCCUUGCAUUGUUCGGGUUCUAACCUACUCCCUCACAGGAAGAGGGACACUAUCAGGCGGGUAGUUUGACUGGGGCGGUCGCCUCCCAAAAUGUAACGGAGGCUUCCGAAGGUUAGUUCAGGGUGUUUGGAAAUCACCCAUAGAGUGCAAAGGCAAAAACUAGCUUAACUGUGAGACAAACAAGUCGAGCAGGUGCGAAAGCAGGGCUUAGUGAUCCGGCGGUGUCGUAUGGAAGAGCCGUCGCUCAAAGGAUAAAAGGUA
rnacentral:rRNA from 1 species